rnacentral:rRNA from 1 species
UACGAAGGGGGCUAGCGUUGUUCGGAUUUACUGGGCGUAAAGCGCACGUAGGCGGAUAGUUAAGUGAGGGGUGAGAUCCCAGGGCUCAACCCUGGAACUGCCUUUCAUACUGGCUAUCUAGAGUCCGGAAGAGGUGAGUGGAACUCCUAGUGUAGAGGUGGAAUUCGUAGAUAUUAGGAAGAACACCAGUGGCGAAGGCGGCUCACUGGUCCGGUACUGACGCUGAGGUGCGAAAGCGUGGGGAGCAAACAGG